rnacentral:lncRNA from 1 species
UCAUCACUCAGCCACUCACUCCCUUACUCUUCUCCCUCUCUCGGCCUCCUGCCGCCGUCGCCGNACUCUUCUCCCUCUCUCGGCCUCCUGCCGCCGUCGCCGGAGGCCGGCGGCUCUGCCGUCCUCCCUCUCCCCCCUUUCGACCUCUCUCUCCCUCUCUUCUCUUAUCUCUCGCCCCCUUCGAUCUCUCUCCCUCUUCCUUCAUCUCUCGCCGUCCUCAACCGCAGUUGUCUCCCUUCUCCGGCAACGACCGUCGCCAGCCGCCACCUCCUCCUGCCCGGCAUAACCCUCACCUUCUCCCUCUCGCCUACAGCUUCCACGGCAGC